rnacentral:rRNA from 1 species
CCAGACUCCUACGGGAGGCAGCAGUGGGGAAUAUUGCACAAUGGGCGCAAGCCUGAUGCAGCCAUGCCGCGUGUAUGAAGAAGGCCUUCGGGUUGUAAAGUACUUUCAGUCGGGAGGAAGGUGGUAAGGUUAAUAACCUUAUCAAUUGACGUUACCGACAGAAGAAGCACCGGCUAACUCCGUGCCAGCAGCCGCGGUAAUACGGAGGGUGCAAGCGUUAAUCGGAAUUACUGGGCGUAAAGCGCACGCAGGCGGUCUGUCAAGUCGGAUGUGAAAUCCCCGGGCUCAACCUGGGAACUGCAUUCGAAACUGGCAGGCUGGAGCCUUGUAGAGGGGGGUAGAAUUCCGGGUGUAGCGGUGAAAUGCGUAGAGAUCUGGAGGAAUACCGGUGGCGAAGGCGGCCCCCUGGACAAAGACUGACGCUCAGGUGCGAAAGCGUGGGGAGCAAACAGGAUUAGAUACCCCUGUAA